GACGAACGCUGGCGGCGUGCCUAAUACAUGCAAGUCGAACGAACUCUGGUAUUGAUUGGUGCUUGCAUCAUGAUUUACAUUUGAGUGAGUGGCGAACUGGUGAGUAACACGUGGGAAACCUGCCCAGAAGCGGGGGAUAACACCUGGAAACAGAUGCUAAUACCGCAUAACAACUUGGACCGCACGGUCCGAGUUUGAAAGAUGGCUUCGGCUAUCACUUUUGGAUGGUCCCGCGGCGUAUUAGCUAGAUGGUGGGGUAACGGCUCACCAUGGCAAUGAUACGUAGCCGACCUGAGAGGGUAAUCGGCCACAUUGGGACUGAGACACGGCCCAAACUCCUACGGGAGGCAGCAGUAGGGAAUCUUCCACAAUGGACGAAAGUCUGAUGGAGCAACGCCGCGUGAGUGAAGAAGGGUUUCGGCUCGUAAAACUCUGUUGUUAAAGAAGAACAUAUCUGAGAGUAACUGUUCAGGUAUUGACGGUAUUUAACCAGAAAGCCACGGCUAACUACGUGCCGGCAGCCGCGGUAAUACGUAGGUGGCAAGCGUUGUCCGGAUUUAUUGGGCGUAAAGCGAGCGCAGGCGGUUUUUUAAGUCUGAUGUGAAAGCCUUCGGCUCAACCGAAGAAGUGCAUCGGAAACUGGGAAACUUGAGUGCAGAAGAGGACAGUGGAACUCCAUGUGUAGCGGUGAAAUGCGUAGAUAUAUGGAAGAACACCAGUGGCGAAGGCGGCUGUCUGGUCUGUAACUGACGCUGAGGCUCGAAAGUAUGGGUAGCAAACAGGAUUAGAUACCCUGGUAGUCCAUACCGUAAACGAUGAAUGCUAAGUGUUGGAGGGUUUCCGCCCUUCAGUGCUGCAGCUAACGCGUUAAGCAUUCCGCCUGGGGAGUACGGCCGCAAGGCUGAAACUCAAAGGAAUUGACGGGGGCCCGCACAAGCGGUGGAGCAUGUGGUUUAAUUCGAAGCUACGCGAAGAACCUUACCAGGUCUUGACAUACUAUGCAAAUCUAAGAGAUUAGACGUUCCCUUCGGGGACAUGGAUACAGGUGGUGCAUGGUUGUCGUCAGCUCGUGUCGUGAGAUGUUGGGUUAAGUCCCGCAACGAGCGCAACCCUUAUUAUCAGUUGCCAGCAUUAAGUUGGGCACUCUGGUGAGACUGCCGGUGACAAACCGGAGGAAGGUGGGGAUGACGUCAAAUCAUCAUGCCCCUUAUGACCUGGGCUACACACGUGCUACAAUGGAUGGUACAACGAGUUGCGAACUCGCGAGAGUAAGCUAAUCUCUUAAAGCCAUUCUCAGUUCGGAUUGUAGGCUGCAACUCGCCUACAUGAAGUCGGAAUCGCUAGUAAUCGCGGAUCAGCAUGCCGCGGUGAAUACGUUCCCGGGCCUUGUACACACCGCCCGUCACACCAUGAGAGUUUGUAACACCCAAAGUCGGUGGGGUAACCUUUUAGGAACCAGCCGCCUAAGGUGGGACAGAUGAUUAGGGUG
rnacentral:rRNA from 1 species